UGCAAUUCGAUCAUUCUAAAGGUUUCACACUCUCCAUCCCCUUUAAACCUGUCCACAAUUCAGGCAGGGAUACAAACUUUUAUCCCCAUUUUACAGAAGGGAAAUCCGGACCUCAGCACCAAGUACUUUCUUGUUCAAGGUUAGACCGCUAGGUGGCAGACCCAGGAUUUAACUCCAGCUGCGGAGCCGCAGCGUCUGUCGGACCACCGGACUCAUUUCCAGUAGGGGAAGACGACAGUUCUUUUGGAGAUGUUCUAAAGGCUUGUUGGGAGAACCGCAUACACGCUGUUCUCGUUCCAGCGCCCAGUCUGAGCUUUUCUGUUCGAGGACAGUGCGGCGGGGCAAAGCCUGUACGCAGCGGGCAGUGCGUUCAACCAGGCUUGCUAUUUAUUUAUUUUAUUUUUGGGGGGACCGGGAAUCGAACUCACGACGUCAGGCUUGCCAGGAAAGCACUCAUGCUGCUGAACUAUAUCCCGGACCCCUCAGGCUUGCUAUUUAAAAGGGCAACUGGUUGCACCGUAGAGGCUCACUGGGCCAGCAUGUGGGUGAGCAAAGCUGGAGUCGGUGGGAAGCUCGCGCUUGUAAUCCAGCGCAGAAGCCCCGGGGAGCAGAGCUAAUCUUUGUCAGGACCUCUCAGGCCAGAUAGGGAGGAGAGGACAAGGGGCACUGGGCUUACAGUCCCGCUGGAGGAAAGAACCCCUCCCCCUGGGCAAGCGGCUCGUACCGGCGGAAGCAGAGCACUGCGGGCUGAGCUCCGCGUAAGAUCACCAUGGCUCACCCAGGAGAGACCUGCCCCUGCUCCCAGCCAUCGCUGGGGUCUCUGCACCCACGACGACCGCCCGCCCCAUCAGUGCCUCUUCCUCCUCCGCGCGGGGGCCCAGGGCCCCUCCGAUUCCCUCGCCCAGGGCUGAGGCCUCAGGGAGGCUGUCUCCGGGCACCUGGGAGUGGGAAGCCAGCAUUCCUGGGUUCCCGCGGGGUGAUUCUUCCCCCUUCCCCCUCGAGACUUCUGGGGCAGCUGCUGUGGAACUCCGCACCCAGCGAGCUUCUUGGGCCGCAGCGAUUGCUCCCAGCCCCCACUGUCACCGCGGUCAGCGCGCACCCCGCGCGGGUCACGGCGGCUUCCCCGCUGCCCCUGGCGGUGCCGCAGCAGGGAAAUAGGUUUCUCAGUGCCUCUGUGCCCUCGCGUUGUCAUCGGGAAAAGUGCAGCCAGAAGUGCUUUUCCUGCUGUCCUGACAACCCGCGCUUGAGAGAGGAGGCUACCGGCGCGAGGCUGCCUGGCCAGCCAGAUAUGUGAGCCGACGGGAAACAUCGUACAGCAGGCUUGAGUGACUGUUCAGAUACCACAGGCUGGAGGAAGCCCAAGUGCUCAGCAGUCAGAGAGAAGAAUAAACGGAUGAACUCACCAAGUGAACAAUGAUACUCAGCCCAGACGAAUAAACUAUGACGUGCAAAAUUAGGAGUAAAUAAAAUCUGGAAUCAGGAAAUAUUCUAAUAGAUGCAUCAUGAAAUCCUUUAUAAACUUACAAAUAACUAAAAUUAAAUCUUUUAAGAAAUACGCGUUGCUACAAUGCAAUGAUAUGGAAAGAAAAUCAAAGUAAUGAUGGCUCCUGACUCCCGCGGAGUCAGUGGAGGUAGGGAGUCAGGCUGGGGGGGACCGGUAUGGUUAGUGUGAGUUAGUGUCCGUACUUUACCUUUACUGGGAGAGGGAGGAUGCGUUUGAAGGUAUUUGUCCGUUAGUAAAAACCCAAUAGCCGAUUAAAUAGCAAGUCCAAGUGGGCUCUGCAUAAAUCAGUGUCGAAUGUGUCAUGAACCAAGGAUUACAGUUAAUGCAGUUCUUC
rnacentral:lncRNA from 1 species